rnacentral:rRNA from 1 species
AUGAACGCUAGCGACAGGCCUAACACAUGCAAGUCGAGGGGCAGCACAAGGAGCAAUCUGAGGUGGCGACCGGCGGCACGGGUGAGUAACACGUAUGCAACCUGCCUGUAAGCGGGGAAUAACCCGUUGAAAGACGGACUAAUACCGCAUAAUACUAAAUUACUGCAUGGUAAUUUAUUUAAACAUUUAUGGCUUACAGAUGGGCAUGCGCAUGAUUAGCUAGUUGGAGAGGUAACGGCUCCCCAAGGCAACGAUCAUUAGGGGUUCUGAGAGGAAGGUCCCCCACACUGGUACUGAGACACGGACCAGACUCCUACGGGAGGCAGCAGUGAGGAAUAUUGGUCAAUGGACGAGAGUCUGAACCAGCCAAGUCGCGUGCAGGAAGAAUGUCCCUAUGGAUUGUAAACUGCUUUUGCAGGGGAAUAAAGUGCAUCACGUGUGAUGUUUUGUAUGUACUCUGCGAAUAAGGAUCGGCUAACUCCGUGCCAGCAGCCGC